CCGCGAAUUCGCCCUUCGGGGUGCACCAGGCGCGAAAACUUUACAAUGCGGGAAACCGUGAUAAGGGGACACCGAGUGCCAGCAUCAUAUGCUGGCUGUCCGGGUGUGUAAAAUACACCCGUUAGCAAGGGCCGGGCAAGACCGGUGCCAGCCGCCGCGGUAACACCGGCGGCCCGAGUGGUGAUCGUGAUUAUUGGGUCCAAAGGGUCCGUAGCCGGUUUGGUCAGUCCUCCGGGAAAUCUGACGGCUCAACCGUUAGGCUUUCGGGGGAUACUGCCAGGCUUGGAACCGGGAGAGGUAAGAGGUACUACAGGGGUAGGAGUGAAAUCUUGUAAUCCCUGUGAGACCACCUGUGGCGAAGGCGUCUUACCAGAACGGGUUCGACGGUGAGGGACGAAAGCUGGGGGCACGAACCGGAUUAGAUACCCGGGUAGUCCCAGCCGUAAACGAUGCUCGCUAGGUGUCAGGCAUGGCGCGACCGUGUCUGGUGCCGCAGGGAAGCCGUGAAGCGAGCCACCUGGGAAGUACGGCCGCAAGGCUGAAACUUAAAGGAAUUGGCGGGGGAGCAC
rnacentral:rRNA from 1 species